GUCCUCUUAGUUAAAUGGAUAUAACAACUCCCUCCUAAGGAGUCGUUGCUGGUUCGAUUCCGGCAGGGGACAUCA
rnacentral:tRNA from 3 species